rnacentral:rRNA from 1 species
UACGGGGGGGGCAAGCGUUGUUCGGAAUUACUGGGCGUAAAGGGCUCGUAGGCGGCCAACUAAGUCAGACGUGAAAUCCCUCGGCUUAACCGGGGAACUGCAUCUGAUACUGGAUGGCUUGAGUUCGGGAGAGGGAUGUGGAAUUCCAGGUGUAGCGGUGAAAUGCGUAGAUAUCAGGAGGAACACCUGUGGCGAAAGCGGCUCACUGGACCACAACUGACGCUGAGGCGCGAAAGCUAGGGGAGCAAACAGG